rnacentral:lncRNA from 10 species
GAUGGCGUCCAGGUACACAGUGGCGAGUGUGAUUCCGCAGUCUUGGGCUGUUUGGCCAAGCGCCCGCCGGACAUGGUACGCCGAAGGGUCAUCGGCGUGGAGUCCUCGCUUUCAGCGUCCGCGGCUGGGAAAUCGGCCAUCGCUACGGCGGGAACUGGGACUCGGGCUGCGUCCCGGCCCUUCCACAUCGGUCCACCGCACUCGUGGGCGCCCGCAUUGGUGCUGACAUAAUUUCCUGACCUCUGACCCGUAUUGUCUCGCGAUUAAAGAGCUGCGCCUGGAUCCCUCAGCAGUGAGGAGACCUGAAGACCAGAGGAAACACAGCAAGGGCUCACCAGAGAAGACAGGGCAAGGUGAGGGGGAUCUCCUAGCAGAGGAAACAACAUGCGCCAAUCAAGCAAAGAUAUUUUUGUGCAUUCAAGGAACACAGAGAGGAAAGACAGUGGCAGAUGGAGACGUAUAAAGCAGGGAUCCUGUUAUGAAAAGCCCUAAAAAAUAGGGUAUAGAGUUUGGGCCAUAUUUCAGAGGUAAUAAGAAAGCAUUCUGCAUUUUUAAAGUAAGGUUUAAAAAUGUUUCUAAUUAGAGAUACAGCAAAGUUGGUGUGAGAGGAUAAAGACUGAUAUACAUAAUCUGAGGAGUUCAUGAAAAUUCCAUGUAAAGCCUGUAGUAUGAAUUGGUCCUAGGAGACAGACAGCUUCAGGGGCAUAGAGAACUUUAAGCACUUUUCCAAGAAGAGUGAAGGGCUGGAGAAUAAAUUGUGAACUAAAAUAUAUUUUGUGUUUGAGAACAUGAAGUACUUGAGAGUGAU